AUUUGUUAAACAUGCCUGUGGCGGACAGCACGUGUUAUCUGUUUUCUGGCGUUAACGUAAGGCACAACGACGUUUCCCCGAUUUGGGUUGCCAAAUUUCUUCGUUGACGAACUUCAACUGCAUUCAUUAAAAUGCUGACUUUGAAUGAUGCUAUUUGACCCCUGAAAAUUGAGAAUCAGCCAAAGCAGUCCUGUAUGGCGGUCGUGUGGAAAGGAUGCAACCGUGUGGGAUGGCCUUCACUACAAGCAGUCACUUCUCGAGACACCGUAUCCUGUCACACAAGGCCAAUGGAUGGUUGGUGUAUUUUCACUGAGUUUGAAUGUGGUAGUAUUCUUAGGAAUCUAGUGCCAGAGAUGAAGCGGAAGCCACAACGAAGCCGGGGUUUCAUAAACAUCACAAAGAGUUGAAUUGAAUAGAUGUCAGUUGAGCAACAUCAGACUUUCAUCUCUCCUGACCAUUGAUGACUACCUGUCUGUCAGUCUGCCAGUCAGUUGGCCAGCCAGUGCAGUCCUUCAAGCCAACUGAAUGUGAAACCCAACUGAGUGGUUUGGAACUAUAGCCUGAUGAACAAGCCAGUCGAUGCCUGACUGUCAGCCAGUACAUAAUUGAAUAGAUGUCAGUUGACCAACAUCAGACUUUCAUCUCUUCUGACCAUUGAUGACUACCUGUCUGUCACUGUCAGUCAGUUGGCCAGCCAGUGCAGUCCUACAAGCCAACUGAAUGUGAAACCCAACUGAGUAGUUUGGAACUAUAGCCUGAUGAACAAGCCAGUCAAUGCCUGACUGUCAGCCAGUACAUUGCGCUUCUGUCCACACUUUGGGAACAUCGCCUACUCCAGAGUUGAGAGUAGUUCAUAUUGAGAAUGAUAACCCAUUCAGCUGGGCUUAGACAGUGGAUUUCUGAAGAGAUUUCCAUAAGAGACAUCAGAACCUUCAUGGCAUCCUAGAUGAUGGCAACCUUUCAACAGUCCUGACUCACCCAGCCAGGGAGAAAGGCAGAUACAGCCAGCCUGCUACCAGCCAUCUUUGUCAAUCUACUGCAGAUAAACAAUCUCAUAUGAAGAAAAGAGCUACUACAAAGAACUACAAAGAGUGAGACACCAAAUCCUGUCACACAAGGCCAAUGGAUGGUUGGUGCAUUUUCACUGAGUUUGAAUGUGGUAGGAUUCUUAGGAAUCUAGUGCCAGAGAUGAAGCGGAAGCCACAACAAAGCCGGGGUUUCAUAAACACCACAUAAAGUUGGUGAUGGUACAUGUACACAAUAAACAAUGAAGAUGACACCCAGCUCACUCAUCACGUGGAGCCUUGCUUCAUUGACCAACCACCUCGCCUAGUCUGGUCACCAUGGCAACUGAACAGCCUCAGGCCCCGCCUCCAGCAGCCAUUGGUCGAGAUCGUUGCUUACCAAUUCCAAUCAGCAAUGAGCGUAGUCGAGGGCAACGCAAGACACCUGUCAGCUUUGUUGUUGUACCUGUCAGUGAUCUGGGUUACCCUGUUGGUUCACCAGGGAGUAGCAUCUGGGCUUACACACCAGGAAGCAGCGGUGACUGGAUCCCAAGUAGCAACUUAGAGGACAUCCCAGGCACAGCAGCUAACAGGAUGCCUAACUUCCCCCAUCAAGACACUGUCAAGAGAGGAUGGCUUCCAAAUGAACAAACACCUGUCAGCCGGUUUGGUGAGCAACAUGAGCCAAUGUCUGGCAUGCAUCAUAACAUGGCCAUGGGAGAUGGGGGAGGGGUGACAGCUCAUGGAAUGGCAGGAACGGUCUGGAACCCUGUAGCCACCAUGCAACUUCAUGGCACCAAUCUA
rnacentral:misc_RNA from 1 species